rnacentral:rRNA from 1 species
AUUCCCUCAGUAACGGCGAAGUGAAGCGGUAACAGCUCAAAUUUGAGAUCUGGCCCUUUUAGGGUCCGAGUUGUAAUUUGUAGAGGAGGCUUUGGGCGUGGCUCCGGUCUAAGUUCCUUGGAACAGGACGUCAUAGAGGGUGAGAGUCCCGUAUGUGACUCGGUAGCUUUCGCCCGUGUAAAGCUCUUUCGACGAGUCGAGUUGUUUGGGAAUGCAGCUCAAAAUGGGUGGUAAAUUUCAUCUAAAGCUAAAUAUUGGCCAGAGACCGAUAGCGCACAAGUAGAGUGAUCGAAAGAUGAAAAGCACUUUGGAAAGAGAGUUAAACAGUACGUGAAAUUGUUGAAAGGGAAGCGCUUGCAACCAGACUCGCAGGCCGUCGAUCAUCUCAGGUUCUCCUGGGUGCACUCGGCGGUCUUCGGGCCAGCAUCGGUUUGGGUGGUGGGAUAAAGGCCUUGGGAAUGUAGCUUCUUUCGGGGAGUGUUAUAGCCCUCGGUGCAAUGCCGCCUACCCGGACCGAGGACCGCGCUUCGGCUAGGAUGCUGGCGUAAUGGUUGUAAGCGACCCGUCUUGAAACACGGACCAAGGAGUCUAACAUCUAUGCGAGUAUUUGGGUGUUAAACCCAUAUGCGUAAUGAAAGUGAACGGAGGUGAGAACCCUUAAGGGUGCAUCAUCGACCGAUCCUGAUGUCUUCGGAUGGAUUUGAGUAAGAGCAUAGCUGUUGGGACCCGAAAGAUGGUGAACUAUGCCUAAAUAGGGUGAAGCCAGAGGAAACUCUGGUGGAGGCUCGCAGCGGUUCUGACGUGCAAAUCGAUCGUCAAAUUUGGGUAUAGGGGCGAAAGACUAAUCGAACCAUCUAGUAGCUGGUUCCUGCCGA